rnacentral:rRNA from 1 species
UACGGAGGAUGCAAGCGUUAUCCGGAAUUAUUGGGCGUAAAGCGUCCGUAGGUGGUUGGUCAAGUCAGUUGUUAAAGCGUGGGGCUUAACCCCAUAAAGGCAAAUGAAACUGGUCAGCUAGAGUGCGAUAGGGGCAAGGGGAAUUUCCAGUGUAGCGGUGAAAUGCGUAGAUAUUGGAAAGAACACCGGUGGCGAAAGCGCCUUGCUGGGUCUGCACUGACACUGAGGGACGAAAGCUAGGGGAGCGAAAGGG